GCCCAGUGACUUUGUUCAACGGCCGCGGUAUCCUAACCGUGCGAAGGUAGCGUAAUCACUUGUUCUUUAAAUGAGGACUAGUAUGAAUGGCACCACGAAGGUUAUACUGUCUCCUUUCUUUAAUCAGUGAAACUAAUCUCCCCGUGAAGAAGCGGGGAUAAGCCUAUAAGACGAGAAGACCCUAUGGAGCUUUAAACAUAAGUAACAACUGCCCAUUAAAUUUUUUAAUCUCAGGAAAUUAAUCACGACACUUAGGCACUUUGAUUACAAGUUUUAGGUUGGGGUGACCGCGGAGCAAAAAAUAACCUCCGCAGUGAAUGGAACUUAUUUCCUAAACCCAGGGCUACGACCCUAAGAAUCAAUAAAUUGACACUGAUUGACCCAAUAUUUUUGAUCAAUGAACCAAGUUACCCUAGGGAUAACAGCGCAAUCCACUUCAAGAGCCCCUAUCGACAAGUGGGUUUACGACCUCGAUGUUGGAUCAGGGUAUCCAGUGGUGCAGCGCUACUAAGGUUCGUUGUUCACGAUUAAACC
rnacentral:rRNA from 1 species